rnacentral:rRNA from 1 species
UACGGAGGGCGCAAGCGUAGUUCGGAAUUACUGGGCGUAAAGCGCGUGUAGGCGGCCAGGUAAGUCGGAUGUGAAACCCCGGCGCCCAACCCCGGAACUGCACCGGAUACUGCCUGGCUGGAGUCCCGGAGAGGAUGGCGGAAUUUCCGGUGUAGAGGUGAAAUUCGUAGAUAUCGGAAGGAACUCGAGUGGCGAAGGCGGCCAUCUGGACGGUGACUGACGCUGAGACGCGAAAGCGUGGGGAGCAAACAGG